ACUGGAGAACAAGAAAUAGCCGAUGCUGCUAGUGGACAGAGGUCCAGUUGAUCAUCUGGAGGGUAAUGCUGAUUUUGUCUUCAGUGUGAAAAUAAGUAAUUCCAGUGAGCAAGUUCAUUUAGCAUGAAAGGCAGUUUUAUGCACAUGAUAGUUUGAAAUGAAAGCUGUGGGUCUGCUUUUGGAGUAAAUGAAAAGCACCAUUUUUAGUGAAAAGAGGAAGGAAGGACCUGCAAUGGAUU